GCAAGCGUUAAUCGGAAUUACUGGGCGUAAAGCGUGCGCAGGCGGUUAUGUAAGGCAGAUGUGAAAUGCCCGGGCUUAACCUGGGAACUGCAUUUGUGACUGCAUGGCUAGAGUUUGGCAGAGGGGGGUAGAAUUCCACGUGUAGCAGUGAAAUGCGUAGAUAUGUGGAGGAACACCGAUGGCGAAGGCAGCCCCCUGGGUCAAGACUGACGCUCAUGCACGAAAGCGUGGGGAGCAAACAGG
rnacentral:rRNA from 1 species